rnacentral:rRNA from 1 species
GACGAACGCUGGCGGCGUGCUUAACACAUGCAAGUCGAACGGAAAGGCCCUGCUUUUGUGGGGUGCUCGAGUGGCGAACGGGUGAGUAACACGUGAGUAACCUGCCCUUGACUUUGGGAUAACUUCAGGAAACUGGGGCUAAUACCGGAUAGGAGCUCCUGCUGCAGGGAGGGGGUUGGAAAGUUUCGGCGGUUGGGGAUGGACGCGCGGCUUAUCAGCUUGUUGGUGGGGGAGUGGCUUACCAAGGCUUUGACGGGUAGCCGGCCUGAGAGGGUGACCGGCCACAUUGCGCCUGAGGUACGGCGCAGACUCCUACGGGAGGCAGCAGUGGGGAAUAUUGCCCAAUGGGCGGACGCCUGAUGAAGCAGCGCCGCGUGCGGGAUGACGGCCUUCGGGUUGUAAACCGCUUUCGCCUGUGACGAAGCGUGAGUGACGGUAAUGGGUAAAGAAGCACCGGCUAACUACGUG